GAUGAACGCUGGCGGCGUGCCUAACACAUGCAAGUCGAACGGAGUCCAGCCUUUAAGACCUUCGGGUCAAAGAGGGGAAGACUGAGUGGCGGACGGGUGAGUAACCCGUGGGCAACCUGGCUCAUCGAGGGGGAUAACAGAGAGAAAUUUCUGCUAAUACCGCAUAAGCACACACUGCCGCAUGGCAGAGGGUGAAAAGGGAAUCGCUAUGAGAUGGACCCGCGUCUGAUUAGCCAGUUGGCAGGGUAAGAGCCUACCAAAGCGACGAUCAGUAGCCGGUCUGGGAGGAUGAACGGCCACAUUGGGACUGAGACACGGCCCAAACUCCUACGGGAGGCAGCAGUGGGGGAUAUUGCACAGUGGGGGGAACCCUGAUGCAGCGACGCCGCGUGAGUGAAGAAGUAUUUCGGUAAGUAAAGCUCUAUCAGCAGGGAAGAUAAUGACAGUACCUGAAUAAGGAGCCCCGGCUAACUACGUG
rnacentral:rRNA from 1 species